UGGGGAAUUUUGGACAAUGGGGGAAACCCUGAUCCAGCCAUCCCGCGUGUGCGAUGAAGGCCUUCGGGUUGUAAAGCACUUUUGGCAGGAAAGAAACGUCAUGGGUUAAUACCCCGUGAAACUGACGGUACCUGCAGAAUAAGCACCGGCUAACUACGUGCCAGCAGCCGCGGUAAUACGUAGGGUGCAAGCGUUAAUCGGAAUUACUGGGCGUAAAGCGUGCGCAGGCGGUUCGGAAAGAAAGAUGUGAAAUCCCAGAGCUCAACUUUGGAACUGCAUUUUUAACUACCGGGCUAGAGUGUGUCAGAGUGAGGUGGAAUUCCGCGUGUAGCAGUGAAAUGCGUAGAUAUGCGGAGGAACACCGAUGGCGAAGGCAGCCUCCUGGGAUAACACUGACGCUCAUGCACGAAGGCGUGGGGAGCAAACAGG
rnacentral:rRNA from 1 species